rnacentral:lncRNA from 1 species
UUAAUGUUUUGUGUUGAAAAGCAUAUCUAGUUUUUAUUUGCCUACAGAUGCUUCUCCUCUGAGUAUGUCCCUUCUGGGAAUGAGACGGGCUGGUUGGCAGUGCACAGCAGCAGAGGGCCUUCUGUUCAUGAUGCCACUGUAGCUGCUUUGAUUGACAGGAUGCAGAUUGGGAAGCCCCUCCUCCUGGAAGUCUCAGGUGCAGGAGGACGCGAAGGAGAGCUCGGUUCGGUGUUGCUGUCCGUGAGACGCGGCUCUCUGCGUGCGCACCGAACACAGCACGCGAGUAGGCUACUCAGCAUACCAAAUCUGAGCAAAGAAAACUUUUCUAUGGUUUUCAUUACAUUUAGCGGGAACUCUGGUCCUCAGGGUCUGCAUAAUAUAUCUGUUAUGGCCAACGGAUACCUCACCUGCAACAUAGAUGCAAUAUUACCUGCUGCUGGAUUGUACCAUUUAAAUGUGACCGUGAUGAACAGUAUCCACACUCAUUCUGCCAGCUGGAAGAUUAGAGCGUGUCCCUUUGGGACUGAGUACUUGAAUCACAUGUUGUCCAAGAGAGAUCAGGAUAUCCCAUCUUGUGCCCCUCUGCCCACAGAUGCAGAGGACAAGCAGCAGGGCAUAUGCAACAGAGACAGACAUCAAAUUUGUAGCAGUAACAGAAGGGCCUGAUCCUCUAUACAUUCAUUGUGGAUGGACCAGAAAUAAAAACAACAUCCAGAAUCUACAAAAAGAGAUAUCACCA